UACGGGGGGGGCAAGCGUUGUUCGGAAUUACUGGGCGUAAAGGGCUCGUAGGCGGCCAACUAAGUCGGAUGUGAAAUCCCCAGGCUCAACCUGGGAACUGCAUCCGAUACUGGAUGGCUUGAAUUCGGGAGAGGGAUGCAGAAUUCCAGGUGUAGCGGUGAAAUGCGUAGAUAUCAGGAGGAACACCCGUGGCGAAAGCGGCUCUCUGGGACGGUACUGACGCUGAGACGCGAAAGCGUGGGGAGCAAACAGG
rnacentral:rRNA from 1 species